GACGAACGCUGGCGGCGUGCUUAACACAUGCAAGUCGAACGGUGAAGCGCCUUCCUUUUUGGUGGGUGUGGAUGAGUGGCGAACGGGUGAGUAACACGUGAGUAACCUGCCCCCUUCUUCUGGAUAACCGCAUGAAAGUGUGGCUAAUACGGGAUAUUCUGGGUCUGUCGCAUGAUGGGUCUGGGAAAGAUAUUGUUUCGGUGGGGGAUGGGCUCGCGGCCUAUCAGCUUGUUGGUGGGGUGAUGGCCUACCAAGGCGGUGACGGGUAGCCGGCCUGAGAGGGUGGACGGUCACACUGGGACUGAGACACGGCCCAGACUCCUACGGGAGGCAGCAGUGGGGAAUAUUGCACAAUGGGCGCAAGCCUGAUGCAGCGACGCCGCGUGAGGGAUGGAGGCCUGCGGGUUGUGAACCUCUUUCGCCAGUGAAGCAGGCCUGCCUCGUUUGUGGGUGGGUUGACGGUUGCUGGAUAAGAAGCGCCGGCUAACUACGUG
rnacentral:rRNA from 1 species